rnacentral:lncRNA from 1 species
GUCUUAAAUCUUCUACAAUUUAGGGAAACAAAUCAGAAAUUUAAAGGAAAUAAGCUAAAAGGUGUGGCAAGGCUUUAAAGUAGAUUAGGAAAGUGUCUAAAUGCAAGAUUUAGGAAAGAAUGACUCUUCCUUGCACGGUGAUUGGAUCAUAUUUAUAUAUAUUUUUACUUCGAAUUCACUCGUGUUUUCUUAGUUAGUUCCUUAUAUUUUUGAGCUAUUUACGUUAUUUUGUGUUUAUAGGAUUUGUUAUGCAAAGAAAAUAAAAUUAGCACAAAUGGGUUUAAAUAAUAAACAGGAAAGUGGAACACGGGUGGACCACUAGAAAAAUAAUGGAGCAAAUAAAAGAAUUAAAGAUGGAGCAAGUGGAUCGUUAAUUGUGAAUUGAAAUGACUGCCUUUUUAAGAAGUGAGAGAGACACAGGCUGGAAAAAGCAGAAAAGAAAAGGAACAAAAUGAGCACAAGGCAGCAGAAAACCAGGGAGUGGAAAGAAAGGCAAACGGAAAUAAUAGAAAUGAGGGCAGUGCGCAAGAGUGGAGGACAGUGCGGACAGCAGUGAUAGGAGCAUAUUUAUGCGCCUUAGUUAGCUAGUUCUUACGCAUUUUCGUUAUGUUUUCUUCGUUAAAGUAGUCUUUUAAGCUACUUUCAUGUGUUUUCAGGUUUAAGGGACAUAUUACAUGAAAUGAUGCAAGUUUGAGCUUUUGGAGCAAAAUGUGAGCUUGGAUUGAAAAGGACAUGCUUGGAACACAAGGUUGGGAUGGAAUUGAAGAGUUGAAAAUUCGAGGUUUCCUACUCGAAGUAGGAAAGCUAAGCCUAAAAGUUUCCAUUUUGGGUUGAACUUUCCUAAAUCGGAAUUGGCAACUAAAGUUUCUAAAGUUGGAAGUUUCUAUUCUUGGAGGUUUCCAUUUUCGUGAGUUUCUAUUCUUGGCUUUGGGCUUUUGGAUGACCCAUCUUCACUUCUUGGACCUAUGCCGCACCUAGGCCUUGUUCACAUGCAAAAAUCUGAUUAUAAACCCUAAGCCUAGUCCAUUAAGGUAGCCGCACCUAACCCUAGCCCAAUCUGAUUUCUAGGGUUUUAGGUACCUAUAUAUAUAUGUUUUACCCCUUAGCCGCACCAUUCACCUCCCAUUCUAAAAAUCAGAAAUCGCCACCACCCAUUGCAGCAACCUUUCCCACCUUUUGCCGCAGCUUCCAUCCAUUCCAGCACCAUUCCACACAUCCAUACACCAUUCUCCACCUCCAUAAACCAUUCCCACACCUUGCCGCACCACCAUACUAUCCUAUCUACCUUUCAAAACCCAAAAACACAUCCAGAAAACUCCAUUCACGCCAGAACCUGUCCCUCACCUUUGCCGAGCCCAACCUUCACCCAACUCCAUAUUUUCUGACCCCAAACCUUCCUAGCCGUGCCCUACACCCAUCCUAGACAUUUUUCCACCAUUCUCCCUCGUCCAAAAUCAUCCAAAACUACCCAAAAAUCCCCUAAACCCUCACUGCCGCAGCAAGGAGAAGAAGAAAGAGGAGCUUUCUGUGCAGAUUUCAAAGUGGA